UGGGGAAUAUUGCACAAUGGGGGAAACCCUGAUGCAGCGACGCCGCGUGAGUGAAGAAGUAUUUCGGUAUGUAAAGCUCUAUCAGCAGGGAAGAACAUGACGGUACCUGACUAAGAAGCCCCGGCUAACUACGUGCCAGCAGCCGCGGUAAUACGUAGGGGGCAAGCGUUAUCCGGAUUUACUGGGCGUAAAGGGAGCGUAGACGGCAGAGCAAGUCUGAAGUGAAAGCCCGGGGCUCAACCCCGGGACUGCUUUGGAAACUGCCCGGCUAGAGUGCAGGAGGGGCAAGCGGAAUUCCUAGUGUAGCGGUGAAAUGCGUAGAUAUUAGGAGGAACACCGGUGGCGAAGGCGGCUUGCUGGACUGUAACUGACGUUGAGGCUCGAAAGCGUGGGGAGC
rnacentral:rRNA from 1 species